GGGUGAGGUGCGCGCCGUUGGCGGAGCCGAGACUCCCCGGCCGCCCAGCGUUUUUUUUCUUGCUGUUGCUUACUCAAUAAAUUCCCUUCUAUUAUUAAUGCAAUGCUCUCUGAAAAUUAAUUAAGGGAGCAACUUAUAACAAAUUUGGUGCCGUGACUCGGAUGAAGGCAAUCUGAUUGAAAGACCUUCAGAGGGGGCGCCCCGCUGAUUUCAGUGGCCUUCACUAGGACUACUUUCAUUCAAAUCCUUCACCGACGAACCCUAAAUUCGGCAGCAAGCAAAUAAAGCCGGCAACCCCUAGUAAUCUUUGUGCACGAAGACCAAACGAAGACACAGGAGUGAUGUCUCAAGAGACUAUGAAAGCUCUAGGAACAAGUUGGGAAUACCACACUCCGUGGCAUCCCCAAAGUGCUGGAAAGGUAGAGCGAAUGAAUGGUGAAAUUAAGAAACAACUAACAAAACUUAUGCUGGAAACUAAGGCUUCUUGGGUAAAAUGUUUACCUCUUGCACUGUUAAACAUACGGACACAGCCCAAAACUGAUGUAGGAAUUUCUCCUUUAGAAAUGCUAUAUGGUAUGCCCUAUGACUUGGAAUUGCCACUUGAUCACCCUCAAUUCCAAUUAAGACUUGGAAAGAGACUUCUUUAACACCGCGAUGGGGAAGGCCCCUAUGUUGUUUUGCUUACCACAGAAACAGCUAUUUGAACUGCGGAGAAAGGAUGGACGCAUGCCAGCCGUGUGAAAGGACCAAUCCAGGAAGGUAAAUGGGAGGCAGCUCCAGGCCCUGACGACUUGCAGCUGACACUAAGAUGGACUCGAUAAGUAUUUUAUAUUAUCUGUGUAUCAUGGGAAGGGGAUGAGGCCCUGUUUCAAAGGCUCCCUAGUAGGUUCCCAUGAAGAACACUGCUGCUGCCAAGAAGAACCGAUACCUUGUAGUUCGCUGCAACCGAACUGACAAGCAAGGCAGAGAAGUGAAAACGGUGGGGGACUGAGGGGCCGACAAUUUAAAAACACCCUGGAGAGAUGGGCUCUGACCACCUCCUACGAUACAUGGGAGUCAGUAUCAUCAUUUUGGUCAGCUAUGGGUCUGCGUAUCCCCACCAGCCUUUUAAAUGGAGCUUGAUCAGAUGGAAGGAUCAAUUCGUCAUCCAGCAAACAAUGACAGUGGGUGCUCCCAGUUUCCGCAUCACAUUAUGUGACCUGGUGUCAGUGCAGCCAUGCUUUAACCGAUCAGGAUUUUAUUUCUGCCCAAGUUCUAACCCAGGAAAGGUGUACUGUAAUUACCCAAACGCAUAUUAUUGUGCAUACAGGGGGUGUGAAACCCUUGCUACGGACUGGACAGUCAAGGCUGGUCGGGAUAAAUUCUUACAAGUGGGAUAUGGGCCGCAAGGUUGUAAGUGACAAGUGGAUCCCCGUUACAAGUGGCAAGGGCAUGGUAUAGGGUAUACAGGAACCUUCCACGGAAAUAAAGAAAUUUGCAAGGUUCUAUAUAUAAAUAUAACAAACUUGGACAAUACUAGCUGGAUACUAGGAAAAAUGUCAGAUUUUACAAACACAGAACAGAUAGGGGAGGACUCAUACUAAUAAAAAGAAGGAUGCUGAUUGUCAGAAAGUGUCCAGGGAAUCCAGCCUGCGGAAAAUACUACAGUGCCAACCCUUGACAGCCCUACAAGCUCAGGUAAAGCCGAGAAUGAUAACAUAGCUGAGAAUAACAUAUGGGGGGGGGGGGUCAGGAAUGCCAGCUACCAAUUAUUAAACAAAACAAGCCCAAAUGUAACAAAACAUUGUUGAUUAUGCUUUAGAAUAAGGCCUUCAUAUUAUGAUGCUAUCGGCAAUCCUGGGGAGCCCACCCGCACAAACGAGAACAACCCUCUACAAUGCAGUUGGGGAAAAGACAUAAGGGUAACACUAACACAAGUCACUGGAGGUGGUAGGUGUGUGGGCACGGUUCCUAGUGAGAAGUGUCACCUAUGUAAUAUCACGGAGAAUGGAAAACAAUCAGCCGAGUGGUUAAUCCCAGCCAACAACGCUAGGUGGGUUUGUUCAGUGGAUGUAACUCCUUGUCUAUCACUAAAACUCUUUAAUGCAUCUCGUGAUUUUUGUAUACAGGUGAUAAUUAUACCAAGGAUUCUAUACCACCCUGAGGAUUAUAUGUACACCCAGCACACGGUGGCAAGUCAUCAUCUGGAAAGACGGGAACCGUUCACGGCUCUAACUUUAGCCACUCUAAUAAUCCUGGGAGGAGCUGGAGUGGGGACCAGGGUAGCCUCAUUGGUUAAACAAAAUCAAGAAUUUACUUCCUUACACAUUGCUGUGGAGGAGGACCUGACCCAAAUUGAACAAUCCAUCUCGGCCCUGGAAAAUCUAUCAGGUCGCUUUCAGAGGUAGUGUUAAAAAUCGUAGGCGAUUAGAUUUGUUUUUUUGUUUGUUUGUUUGUUUUUUUUACAACAGGGCAGGCUGUGUGCAGCCCUGAAAGAGGAAUGCUGUGUGUAUGCUGAUCGCACUGGAGUGGUAAGAGGUACAAUGGUAAGACUCAGGGAAGGGCUGGAAAAAAGGAAACGGGAGAAUGAAGCCCAACAAAG